GAUGAACGCUGGCGGCGUGCCUAAUACAUGCAAGUCGAGCGAACAGAUGAGGAGCUUGCUCCUCUGACGUUAGCGGCGGACGGGUGAGUAACACGUGGAUAACCUACCUAUAAGACUGGGAUAACUUCGGGAAACCGGAGCUAAUACCGGAUAAUAUAUUGAACCGCAUGGUUCAAUAGUGAAAGACGGUUUUGCUGUCACUUAUAGAUGGAUCCGCGCCGCAUUAGCUAGUUGGUAAGGUAACGGCUUACCAAGGCAACGAUGCGUAGCCGACCUGAGAGGGUGAUCUGCCACACUGGAACUGAGACACGGUCCAGACUCCUACGGGAGGCAGCAGUAGGGAAUCUUCCGCAAUGGGCGAAAGCCUGACGGAGCAACGCCGCGUGAGUGAUGAAGGUCUUCGGAUCGUAAAACUCUGUUAUUAGGGAAGAACAAAUGUGUAAGUAACUAUGCACGUCUUGACGGUACCUAAUCAGAAAGCCACGGCUAACUACGUG
rnacentral:rRNA from 1 species